rnacentral:lncRNA from 1 species
GAAUGCUAGUGAGGACAAGGAUACAUCCACCCUAUAGAGAUUCUGUGUGAGAAAAGUAAUGUAAACCUUGAACCUGAGAAUUUGGAACUAUUAAGUCAUGAGAGUACCACAACAGAAUGAAUGUGGAAGUGGUCAGCAGAAUGAAGAAUUCACAUAGACCAAAAUAAAACAACAACAAGAAAGAAAGAAGACGAAGAUCAAUAAAAUUCAAACCCAGCUGGAAGAAGCAUAUCUGGAGGGCUCCUCUUUGUAGAAGAGAAUUUUCAGUCUCAAGGAACUUCUGAUUAAUUCAUUGCAUCUGUUCCUUCCAUGUAUAGUCUCCAAAGAUGACUAUCCCAUUGCUGAGUUGAUGAACACUUAGUAGCGUACAAUGCAGAGUAUGAAUUUUGAAUUGUUAGCCAUUAUGGACCAUUGAAAACAUUAGACCAUGAAAAUAAAGCAUUUGAAGGAUUCA